rnacentral:rRNA from 1 species
AGUGAACGCUGGCGGCAGGCCUAACACAUGCAAGUCGAACGGCAGCACAAGAUCGCUUGCUCUCUGGGUGGCGAGUGGCGGGCGGGUGAGGUAUGCAUCGGCAUCUGCUCAUUUGUGGGGGAUAACCUCGGGAAACCGGGACUAAUACCGCAUACGACCUACGGGUGAAAGCUGGGGAUCUUCGGUCCUUGCGCAGAGGGAUGCGCCGAUGCCGGAUUAGCUAGUUGGAGGGGUUCAGGCCCACCAAGGCGACGAGCCGUAGCUGGUCUGAGAGGAUGCUCAGCCACACUGGAACUGAGACACGGCCCAGACGCCUACGGGAGGCAGCAGUGGGGAAUAUUGGACAAUGGGCGCAAGCCUGAUCCAGCCAUGCCGCGUGUGUGAAGAAGGCCUUCGGGUUGUAAAGCACUUUUGUUGGGAAAGAAAAGCAGCCGGUUAAUACCCGGUUGUCAUGACGGUACCCAAAGAAUAAGCACCGGCUAACUUCGUG